UUUCCGUAGGUGAACCUGCGGAAGGAUCAUUCAUAAUAAAGUGUUUUAUGGCACUUUUUAAAAAUCCAUAUCCACCUUGUGUGCAAUGUUAGAUCUCGUCAAUCUUGGCGAGAUUUUUAUACAUCAACUCAUUCUUUAACUAAUUUGUCUGAAGAAUAUUAUGAAUACUUAAUUCAAAAUACAACUUUCAACAACGGAUCUCUUGGCUCUC
rnacentral:misc_RNA from 1 species